rnacentral:rRNA from 1 species
CAGGGAAUCUUCGGCAAUGGACGAAAGUCUGACCGAGCAACGCCGCGUGAGUGAAGAAGGUUUUCGGAUCGUAAAACUCUUUUGUUAGAGAAGAACAAGGACGUUAGUAACUGAACGUCCCCUGACGGUAUCUAACCAGAAAGCCACGGCUAACUACGUGCCAGCAGCCGCGGUAAUACGUAGGUGGCAAGCGUUGUCCGGAUUUAUUGGGCGUAAAGCGAGCGCAGGCGGUUUCUUAAGUCUGAUGUGAAAGCCCCCGGCUCAACCGGGGAGGGUCAUUGGAAGCUGGGAGACUUGAGUGCAGAAGAGGAGAGUGGAAUUCCAUGUGUAGCGAUGAAAUGCGUAGAUAUAUGGAGGAACACCAGUGGCGAAGGCGGCUCUCUGGUCUGUAACUGACGCUGAGGCUCGGAAGCGUGGGGAGCAAACAGG